AGAAACCAACAGGGAUUGCCUUAGUAGCGGCGAGUGAAGCGGCAAAAGCUCAAAUUUGAAAUCUGGCUCUUUCAGAGUCCGAGUUGUAAUUUGAAGAAGGUAUCUUUGGGUCUGGCUCUUGUCUAUGUUUCUUGGAACAGAACGUCACAGAGGGUGAGAAUCCCGUGCGAUGAGAUGAUCCAGGCCUAUGUAAAGUUCCUUCGAAGAGUCGAGUUGUUUGGGAAUGCAGCUCUAAGUGGGUGGUAAAUUCCAUCUAAAGCUAAAUAUUGGCGAGAGACCGAUAGCGAACAAGUACAGUGAUGGAAAGAUGAAAAGAACUUUGAAAAGAGAGUGAAAAAGUACGUGAAAUUGUUGAAAGGGAAGGGCUUGAGAUCAGACUUGGUAUUUUGUAUGUUACUUCUUCGGGGGUGGCCUCUACAGUUUAUCGGGCCAGCAUCAGUUUGGGCGGUAGGAGAAUUGCGUUGGAAUGUGGCACGGCUUCGGUUGUGUGUUAUAGCCUUCGUCGAUACUGCCAGCCUAGACUGAGGACUGCGGUUUAUACCUAGGAUGUUGGCAUAAUGAUCUAAAGUC
rnacentral:rRNA from 1 species